rnacentral:lncRNA from 1 species
GUACAAGUACUCCGUUGUGAGAAAAGAAAAGCAGUCCUCUUAUUGCUGUACACCUAGUUCAGCAGUUCUCUCAUAUUUUUUGUGAACAACUCUCUCUCUUCUUUUUUAAUUGCUGGAGUCCAUCCCUACACCCAGAAUCUUCUGUGCUGUAAGUGUAAUUCUGGAUCUGGAUCCAGUGUUACAGUGGUGCAGCCUCACCAACUCAAAGGCUCUCUUCUAAUUUGCAGGGCUGUAACUGCGACUGGAACGUCACUUUUUCACGUGUUUUUUUCUGGAUAUGUGACUGCAUUUCAGUAAAGAAUACUAUGCUGCUUUGUGAUGGCCCUCUAACAUCUAGCUGGAGAUAGAUGUAUCACCCCACCUUCACCUUAUUCUUCCUUUCUGUUUGCAGAACUAACUAGUGCUGAAGGUGGUGCCAAAGUGCUGGAACACAUAGCAUCAAAGCAUCAAUUACUAUCUUGGCUGCAAUACAGAGCUUCUCCCCAUACCCUCAGUCAUGCUGCACAUUGGCUAAUGGAAUUACUAUAUACAGCUCUAGCUGCCUUUGUUGUCUCAACAUUUUACAAAUUCUAAAGGCAUCCUGAAAAUUUACAUUAUAACAUUAUUCUGGCAUCACAGAAUCUGAGGAGCUAGGUUUUGGGGUGUCUGGGGGUUUUUUUGUUUUUCUGUUUUUUUUUUUCCAGUGUGGAAUCUUGUAAAGGAUUGCUGGCUGCUAACAUGUGAGUCCUUCCUUCCCAGUUUGGAUUCUUCAGUCUACUUCAUGUGGCCACCCAGCAGCUGAACAAGGAGUCUGUUGCAUAGGCAAACUAAAGCUUUCCUGCUUUUACUAUGUGUUAGCAAAGUCCAGAGAAAUUGUUAUAGGGACUUUCAUGACUUUUUCAUUUUAAUUUAAGCUUAAUGUUAACUUAAUAUUUAUCAUAUUCAAUUUUUUUCUUGAUUCUGAGUUUCCUUAUUACUGAAUUCUAGUAUUUCAGUAUUUCAACAACAGCAACAAAGAUAACUGAAACUCUGCUUAACCUGCUUGUUUUUGUUCUAGUUUCUAUGUUUCUUCUCCCUGGCUGUAUUUCUUCUUUGCUUCCUUUAUCUUAAUUU